rnacentral:rRNA from 1 species
GACAGAGGGGGCAAGCGUUGCUCGGAAUCAUUGGGCGUAAAGGGUGCGUAGGCGGCGCGGUAAGUCGGGUGUGAAAUCUCGGGGCUUAACUCCGAAACUGCAUUCGAUACUGCCGUGCUUGAGGACUGGAGAGGAGACUGGAAUUUACGGUGUAGCGGUGAAAUGCGUAGAUAUCGUAAGGAAGACCAGUGGCGAAGGCGGGUCUCUGGACAGUUCCUGACGCUGAGGCACGAAGGCCAGGGGAGCAAACGGG